rnacentral:rRNA from 1 species
ACGAACGCUGGCGGCGUGCUUAACACAUGCAAGUCGAACGGAAAGGCCCUGCUUUUGUGGGGUGCUCGAGUGGCGAACGGGUGAGUAACACGUGAGUAACCUGCCCUUGACUUUGGGAUAACUUCAGGAAACUGGGGCUAAUACCGGAUAGGAGCUCCUGCUGCAUGGUGGGGGUUGGAAAGUUUCGGCGGUUGGGGAUGGACUCGCGGCUUAUCAGCUUGUUGGUGGGGUAGUGGCUUACCAAGGCUUUGACGGGUAGCCGGCCUGAGAGGGUGACCGGCCACAUUGGGACUGAGAUACGGCCCAGACUCCUACGGGAGGCAGCAGUGGGGAAUAUUGCACAAUGGGCGGAAGCCUGAUGCAGCAACGCCGCGUGCGGGAUGACGGCCCUCUGGUUGUAAACCGCUUUCGCCUGUGACGAAGCGUGAGUGACGGUAAUGGGUAAAGAAGCACCGGCUAACUACGUG